rnacentral:rRNA from 1 species
AUUGAACGCUGGCGGCAGGCCUAACACAUGCAAGUCGAACGGUGGCAGGAAGAAGCUUGCUUCUUUGCUGACGAGUGGCGGACGGGUGAGUAAUGUCUGGGAAACUGCCUGAUGGAGGGGGAUAACUACUGGAAACGGUAGCUAAUACCGCAUAACGUCGCAAGACCAAAGAGGGGGACCUUCGGGCCUCUUGCCAUCGGAUGUGCCCAGAUGGGAUUAGCUAGUAGGUGGGGUAACGGCUCACCUAGGCGACGAUCCCUAGCUGGUCUGAGAGGAUGACCAGCCACACUGGAACUGAGACACGGUCCAGACUCCUACGGGAGGCAGCAGUGGGGAAUAUUGCACAAUGGGCGCAAGCCUGAUGCAGCCAUGCCGCGUGUAUGAAGAAGGCCUUCGGGUUGUAAAGUACUUUCAGCGGGGAGGAAGGGAGUAAAGUUAAUACCUUUGCUCAAUGACGUUACCCGCAGAAGAAGCACCGGCUAACUCCGUG